GCCUGGGUGGCUCAGUAGUUGAGCGUCUCCCUUUGGCUCAGGGCGUGAUCCUGGAGAUGCAGGAUCGAGUCCUGCAUCGGGCU
rnacentral:tRNA from 1 species